AGUGAACGCUGGCGGUAGGCCUAACACAUGCAAGUCGAACGGCAGCACAGUAAGAGCUUGCUCUUACGGGUGGCGAGUGGCGGACGGGUGAGGAAUACAUCGGAAUCUACUUUUUCGUGGGGGAUAACGUAGGGAAACUUACGCUAAUACCGCAUACGACCUACGGGUGAAAGCAGGGGAUCUUCGGACCUUGCGCGAUUGAAUGAGCCGAUGUCGGAUUAGCUAGUUGGCGGGGUAAAGGCCCACCAAGGCGACGAUCCGUAGCUGGUCUGAGAGGAUGAUCAGCCACACUGGAACUGAGACACGGUCCAGACUCCUACGGGAGGCAGCAGUGGGGAAUAUUGGACAAUGGGCGCAAGCCUGAUCCAGCCAUACCGCGUGGGUGAAGAAGGCCUGCGGGUUGUAAAGCCCUUUUGUUGGGAAAGAAAAGCAGCAGGUUAAUACCCCGCUGUUCUGACGGUACCCAAAAAUAAGCACCGGCUAACUUCGUG
rnacentral:rRNA from 1 species